rnacentral:rRNA from 1 species
UACGGAGGGUGCAAGCAUUAAUCGGAUUUAUUGGGCGUAAAGGGCGCGUAGGCGGGAAAAUAAGUCAGAUGUGAAAUCCCGGGGCUCAACCCCGGAACUGCAUUUGAAACUAUAUUUCUAGAGGAUAGGCGGAGAAAACGGAAUUCCACAAGUAGCGGUGAAAUGCGUAGAUAUGUGGAAGAACACCUGUGGCGAAAGCGGUUUUCUAGCUUAAACCUGACGCUGAGGCGCGAAAGCAAGGGGAGCAAAC